rnacentral:rRNA from 1 species
GAUGAACGCUGGCGGCGUGCCUAAUACAUGCAAGUCGAGCGAACAGAUGAGGAGCUUGCUCCUCUGACGUUAGCGGCGGACGGGUGAGUAACACGUGGAUAACCUACCUAUAAGACUGGGAUAACUUCGGGAAACCGGAGCUAAUACCGGAUAAUAUAUUGAACCGCAUGGUUCAAUAGUGAAAGACGGUUUUGCUGGCACUUAUAGAUGGAUCCGCGCCGCAUUAGCUAGUUGGUAAGGUAACGGCUUACCAAGGCAACGAUGCGUAGCCGACCUGAGAGGGUGAUCGGCCACACUGGAACUUAGACACGGUCCAGACUCCUACGGGAGGCAGCAGUAGGGAAUCUUCCGCAAUGGGCGAAAGCCUGACGGAGCAACGCCGCGUGAGUGAUGAAGGUCUUCGGAUCGUAAAACUCUGUUAUUAGGGAAGAACAAAUGUGUAAGUAACUAUGCACGUCUUGACGGUACCUAAUCAGAAAGCCACGGCUAACUACGUG